rnacentral:lncRNA from 1 species
UUUUAAAAUAAAAAAAAAGAAAUAGAAAAAUGAAUUGCUUACAUUUCUUCAAAGGGCGCUUUGAUUAUAAAAACAGGAGGCUGUCUCAAACGGAAACAGAUUUGGACCUUAGUUCUGCUAGACAGUAGAAGGCAAAUAUGAAGGUGCAAACAGCUGGUCUCAUAAUAUGUGGGCUUGUGCUUUUCGCACUCGCUCUUACUGACGCCCAGUACAUCGACUACGACUUCGCUCCUCAUAGACCAUAUGGGUUUCCACACAGAUAUCGCGGCUACCGCGGCUACUACAGACAUGGGGGACAUCACCACCACACAUAUUACCGUCGUCCUUAUUACUUUGACUAUCACCACCGUCAUCUCGGUGGCCGCUUUCCCCACCAUCAUUAUCGAAGGCCCUACUAUGGGUAUUAGAAACAGGAUUUACACAGCAGGUAUAAAACCAGAGCACAGCAAAUUCGUUUCAAGUUCUGUGUUCUCCUUGCUGAAAUAAAAUGAUUUGAAAAGUUAA